CGAACGCGCAUCUCUCUUUCUGGGGUCGCGGCCACGCGGUUAACGUUCGUUUUCGUGAACAUCGAGCGCGCGUUACGACCUAAGUGUUAACACGAAUUGUUGUUUCGUGAACGAUCCUGAGACGCGGACUGUGACUGGCGUGACACGGAUGACCGAUCUCGUCAGCGUGAAUUAGCCUCAUCCUUUCGGUGCCGCAAGCCGGCCAAGUUUCAACGUGGAAAGAUCGUCUCGCCCGAGCAUCUUCCGUUCCUGCCGAGAAUUCCUACACUCCCGGAAGGCUGGAUGCGCGGGGCGAUCUCCAAUAGCGUAUAAAGGAUCGAUACAUUCUGUAUUUGUGGCAAACGUUGGCGAUUUUAGAUUGGACGCAGUUAACUGCUCGGGGCGGCGAAGAGAACGAAACUUCCAGGAUAUUGAACUACGUAAAGGAAAGUGAAGCUUAACGGUGAGUACAAGAACGUUUGUCUUGCAGUCUGAGCAUGAAAUAAAAGGGAAUUCUGUAUACAGAACGAGUCAACAAUCGUGCAUUGGGAAACAAAAAUUUAAAAAGAUAAAAAAAAAGAAAAAAUUAGAUCAGC